rnacentral:rRNA from 1 species
GACGAACGCUGGCGGCGUGCUUAACACAUGCAAGUCGAGCGAGGCCCUUCCUUCGGGAAGGUGUCCUAGCGGCGAACGGGUGAGUAACACGUGGGCAACCUGCCCUCAGCUCUGGGAUAACCCCGGGAAACCGGGGCUAAUACCGGAUACGACCUCCACGGGCAUCUGCGGAGGUGGAAAGGUCUUCCGGCUGAGGAUGGGCCCGCGGCCUAUCAGCUAGUUGGUGGGGUGACGGCCCACCAAGGCGACGACGGGUAGCCGGCCUGAGAGGGCGACCGGCCACACUGGGACUGAGACACGGCCCAGACUCCUACGGGAGGCAGCAGUGGGGAAUCUUGCGCAAUGGGCGAAAGCCUGACGCAGCGACGCCGCGUGA